ACCCAGCAGAGGUUCCUAUGGCCACUGGGACCAAUUCUGAUGUCCUCUGAGCCUCCCGUCGUCUCUGCCAUGUUACAGACUCCUGCAUCAGCCCUUGUCUCUAGGGAAAUCCAACAAACCUAAAAAUGUACCUUUUAGGAUGUGGGGCAGAAGAGUGAACCAUGGCCUCAAUCUCCCUGAUGGAACCUGAUUACAAUUUCUUCCUGCCACAUUGCUCGUGUUGGUAUAUAUAGCACCAGCCACAUCCUCCAGGCAGACAGCAGAGGCAGCUUCACCAGGAGCCUGAGCAGGAAGGCACAGCCAGAGCAGGAUGAAGCUUGU